ensembl:misc_RNA Metazoa_SRP Metazoan signal recognition particle RNA
GCCGGGCAUGGUGGCGGGUGCCUAUAAUCCCAGCUACUCGGGAGGCUGAGGCAGGAGAAUUGCUUGAGCCCAGGAGGCUGAAGUUGCAGUGAGCUGAGACUGCACCACUCCACUACAGCCUGGGUGACAGAGCAAGACCCUGUCUCAA